GACGAACGCUGGCGGCGUGCUUAACACAUGCAAGUCGAACGGAAAGGCCCUGCUUUUGUGGGGUGCUCGAGUGGCGAACGGAUGAGUAACACGUGAGUAACCUGCCCUUGACUUUGGGAAACUUCAGGAAACUGGGGCUAAUACCGGAUAGGAGCUCCUGCUGCAUGGUGGGGGUUGGAAAGUUUCGGCGGUUGGGGAUGGACUCGCGGCUUAUCAGCUUGUUGGUGGGGUAGUGGCUUACCAAGGCUUUGACGGGUAGCCGGCCUGAGAGGGUGACCGGCCACAUUGGGACUGAGAUACGGCCCAGACUCCUACGGGAGGCAGCAGUGGGGAAUAUUGCACAAUGGGCGGAAGCCUGAUGCAGCAACGCCGCGUGCGGGAUGACGGCCUUCGGGUUGUAAACCGCUUUCGCCUGUGACGAAGCGUGAGUGACGGUAAUGGGUAAAGAAGCACCGGCUAACUACGUG
rnacentral:rRNA from 1 species